rnacentral:rRNA from 1 species
GACGAACCGUGCGAACGUUAUUCGGAAUCACUGGGCUUAAAGGGCGCGUAGGCGGGCCGCAUAGUCAGGGGUGAAAGCCUCCAGCUCAACUGGAGAAGUGCCUUUGAUACUGGCGGCCUCGAGGGGUGCAGGGGCGUGCGGAACUUCCGGUGGAGCGGUGAAAUGCGUAGAUAUCGGAAGGAACACCGGUGGCGAAGGCGGCACGCUGGACACCUACUGACGCUGAGGCGCGAAAGCCAGGGGAGCAAACGGG